rnacentral:rRNA from 2 species
UUAAGCGACUAAGCGUACACGGUGGAUGCCCUGGCAGUCAGAGGCGAUGAAGGACGUGCUAAUCUGCGAAAAGCGUCGGUAAGGUGAUAUGAACCGUUAUAGCCGGCGAUGUCCGAAUGGGGAAACCCAGUGCAAUUCGUUGCACUAUCGUUUGAUGAAUACAUAGUCAAACGAGGCGAACCGGGGGAACUGAAACAUCUAAGUACCCCGAGGAAAAGAAAUCAACCGAGAUUCCCCCAGUAGCGGCGAGCGAACGGGGAGCAGCCCGGAGUCUGAAUCAGCUUGUGUGUUAGUGGAAGCGUCUGGAAAGUCGCAGGGUACAGGGUGAUACUCCCGUACACUAAAGCACACAGGUUGUGAACUCGAAGAGUAGGGCGGGACACGUGGUAUCCUGUCUGAAUAUGGGGGGACCAUCCUCCAAGGCUAAAUACUCCUGACUGACCGAUAGUGAACCAGUACCGUGAGGGAAAGGCGAAAAGAACCCCGGCGAGGGGAGUGAAAAAGAACCUGAAACCGUGUACGUACAAGCAGUAGGAGCCUCUUUAUGGGGUGACUGCGUACCUUUUGUAUAAUGGGUCAGCGACUUAUAUUCUGUAGCAAGGUUAACCGUAUAGGGGAGCCGCAGGGAAACCGAGUCUUAACUGGGCGUUAAGUUGCAGGGUAUAGACCCGAAACCCGGUGAUCUAGCCAUGGGCAGGUUGAAGGUUGGGUAACACUAACUGGAGGACCGAACCGACUAAUGUUGAAAAAUUAGCGGAUGACUUGUGGCUGGGGGUGAAAGGCCAAUCAAACCGGGAGAUAGCUGGUUCUCCCCGAAAGCUAUUUAGGUAGCGCCUCGUGAAUUCAUCUUCGGGGGUAGAGCACUGUUUCGGCUAGGGGGUCAUCCCGACUUACCAACCCGAUGCAAACUACGAAUACCGAAGAAUGUUAUCACGGGAGACACACGGCGGGUGCUAACGUCCGUCGUGAAGAGGGAAACAACCCAGACCGCCAGCUAAGGUCCCAAAGUCAUGGUUAAGUGGGAAACGAUGUGGGAAGGCCCAGACAGCCAGGAUGUUGGCUUAGAAGCAGCCAUCAUUUAAAGAAAGCGUAAUAGCUCACUGGUCGAGUCGGCCUGCGCGGAAGAUGUAACGGGGCUAAACCAUGCACCGAAGCUGCGGCAGCGACACUAUGUGUUGUUGGGUAGGGGAGCGUUCUGUAAGCCGUUGAAGGUGGCCUGUGAGGGUUGCUGGAGGUAUCAGAAGUGCGAAUGCUGACAUAAGUAACGAUAAUGCGGGUGAAAAACCCGCACGCCGGAAGACCAAGGGUUCCUGUCCAACGUUAAUCGGGGCAGGGUGAGUCGACCCCUAAGGCGAGGCCGAAAGGCGUAGUCGAUGGGAAACAGGUUAAUAUUCCUGUACUCGGUGUUACUGCGAAGGGGGGACGGAGAAGGCUAUGUUGGCCGGGCGACGGUUGUCCCGGUUUAAGCAUGUAGGCGGAUGUUCCAGGUAAAUCCGGAACGUUAUUAACGCUGAGGUGUGAUGACGAGGCACUACGGUGCUGAAGUGACAAAUGCCCUGCUUCCAGGAAAAGCCUCUAAGCAUCAGGUAACAUCAAAUCGUACCCAAACCGACACAGGUGGUCAGGUAGAGAAUACCAAGGCGCUUGAGAGAACUCGGGUGAAGGAACUAGGCAAAAUGGUGCCGUAACUUCGGGAGAAGGCACGCUGAUAGGUAGGUGAAGUGGUUUACCCAUGGAGCUGAAAUCAGUCGAAGAUACCAGCUGGCUGCAACUGUUUAUUAAAAACACAGCACUGUGCAAACACGAAAGUGGACGUAUACGGUGUGACGCCUGCCCGGUGCCGGAAGGUUAAUUGAUGGGGUUAUCCGUAAGGAGAAGCUCUUGAUCGAAGCCCCGGUAAACGGCGGCCGUAACUAUAACGGUCCUAAGGUAGCGAAAUUCCUUGUCGGGUAAGUUCCGACCUGCACGAAUGGCGUAAUGAUGGCCAGGCUGUCUCCACCCGAGACUCAGUGAAAUUGAACUCGCUGUGAAGAUGCAGUGUACCCGCGGCAAGACGGAAAGACCCCGUGAACCUUUACUAUAGCUUGACACUGAACACUGGUCCUUGAUGUGUAGGAUAGGUGGGAGGCUUUGAAGCGUGGACGCCAGUCUGCGUGGAGCCAUCCUUGAAAUACCACCCUUUAAUGGCUGGUGUUCUAACGUGGGCCCGUUAUCCGGGUUGCGGACAGUGUCUGGUGGGUAGUUUGACUGGGGCGGUCUCCUCCUAAAGAGUAACGGAGGAGCACGAAGGUCAGCUAAUCCUGGUCGGACAUCAGGAGGUUAGUGCAAUGGCAUAAGCUGGCUUGACUGCGAGCGUGACGGCGCGAGCAGGUGCGAAAGCAGGUCAUAGUGAUCCGGUGGUUCUGAAUGGAAGGGCCAUCGCUCAACGGAUAAAAGGUACUCCGGGGAUAACAGGCUGAUACCGCCCAAGAGUUCAUAUCGACGGCGGUGUUUGGCACCUCGAUGUCGGCUCAUCACAUCCUGGGGCUGAAGUAGGUCCCAAGGGUAUGGCUGUUCGCCAUUUAAAGUGGUACGCGAGCUGGGUUUAGAACGUCGUGAGACAGUUCGGUCCCUAUCUGCCGUGGGCGCUGGAGAAUUGAGGGGGGCUGCUCCUAGUACGAGAGGACCGGAGUGGACGCAUCACUGGUGUUCGGGUUGUCAUGCCAAUGGCAUUGCCCGGUAGCUAAAUGCGGAAGAGAUAAGUGCUGAAAGCAUCUAAGCACGAAACUUGCCCCGAGAUGAGUUCUCCCUGACUCCUUGAGAGUCCUGAAGGAACGUUGAAGACGACGACGUUGAUAGGCCGGGUGUGUAAGCGCAGCGAUGCGUUGAGCUAACCGGUACUAAUGAACCGUGAGGCUUAACCUU